UACUGUACAAAAGCACAAUUUUGAGGUACUUCUAUUUUAGUUAGUUCUAAUUAAUGUUACUUUAUACUUCUACUCCA